ACGCUGGCGGCGUGCCUAAUACAUGCAAGUCGAACGAGUUCUGAUUAUUGAAAGGUGCUUGCAUCUUGAUUUAAUUUUGAACGAGUGGCGGACGGGUGAGUAACACGUGGGUAACCUGCCCUUAAGUGGGGGAUAACAUUUGGAAACAGAUGCUAAUACCGCAUAAAUCCAAGAACCGCAUGGUUCUUGGCUGAAAGAUGGCGUAAGCUAUCGCUUUUGGAUGGACCCGCGGCGUAUUAGCUAGUUGGUGAGGUAACGGCUCACCAAGGCAAUGAUACGUAGCCGAACUGAGAGGUUGAUCGGCCACAUUGGGACUGAGACACGGCCCAAACUCCUACGGGAGGCAGCAGUAGGGAAUCUUCCACAAUGGACGCAAGUCUGAUGGAGCAACGCCGCGUGAGUGAAGAAGGCUUUCGGGUCGUAAAACUCUGUUGUUGGGGAAGAAUGGUCGGCAGAGUAACUGUUGUCGGCGUGACGGUAUCCAACCAGAAAGCCACGGCUAACUACGUGCCAGCAGCCGCGGUAAUACGUAGGUGGCAAGCGUUAUCCGGAUUUAUUGGGCGUAAAGCGAGCGCAGGCGGUUUUUUAAGUCUGAUGUGAAAGCCCUCGGCUUAACCGAGGAAGUGCAUCGGAAACUGGGAAACUUGAGUGCAGAAGAGGACAGUGGAACUCCAUGUGUAGCGGUGAAAUGCGUAGAUAUAUGGAAGAACACCAGUGGCGAAGGCGGCUGUCUGGUCUGUAACUGACGCUGAGGCUCGAAAGCAUGGGUAGCGAACAGGAUUAGAUACCCUGGUAGUCCAUGCCGUAAACGAUGAAUGCUAGGUGUUGGAGGGUUUCCGCCCUUCAGUGCCGCAGCUAACGCAUUAAGCAUUCCGCCUGGGGAGUACGACCGCAAGGUUGAAACUCAAAGGAAUUGACGGGGGCCCGCACAAGCGGUGGAGCAUGUGGUUUAAUUCGAAGCAACGCGAAGAACCUUACCAGGUCUUGACAUCUUUUGAUCACCUGAGAGAUCAGGUUUCCCCUUCGGGGGCAAAAUGACAGGUGGUGCAUGGUUGUCGUCAGCUCGUGUCGUGAGAUGUUGGGUUAAGUCCCGCAACGAGCGCAACCCUUAUGACUAGUUGCCAGCAUUUAGUUGGGCACUCUAGUAAGACUGCUGGUGACAAACCGGAGGAAGGUGGGGAUGACGUCAAAUCAUCAUGCCCCUUAUGACCUGGGCUACACACGUGCUACAAUGGAUGGUACAACGAGUUGCGAGACCGCGAGGUCAAGCUAAUCUCUUAAAGCCAUUCUCAGUUCGGACUGUAGGCUGCAACUCGCCUACACGAAGUCGGAAUCGCUAGUAAUCGCGGAUCAGCACGCCGCGGUGAAUACGUUCCCGGGCCUUGUACACACCGCCCGUCACACCAUGAGAGUUUGUAACACCCGAAGCCGGUGGCGUAACCCUUUUAGGGAGCGAGCCGUCUAAGGUGGGACAAAUGAUUAGGGU
rnacentral:rRNA from 1 species